UUGGAUGAAGAAUUGAAACCCUAACUUUGAUUCUGUAGAAGAGGUAUGAUCUCCAGGGGCCAGGGGGGUCAGGUUUUAUAGUCCCUUCAAGUGAAUCUGGGCCGUCCGAUCAAACCGACAUUGAUCGUGUGGUUUUCCUUGAAGUAUUAGGUCGGUGGAGCAUGAUCCUCGAACUUCACCCUGAUUGGUGGAAAGAGGUGGGCGGGCGCCCUGUCCCUGAGGCCUCUCGGCUUCCGCUUCGGUCCCGUGGCUUCUGGAGUCUUCUAGAUGAUAGAAAAUUGCGCGGCACGUUAAUAUCUCUAUGUAAACCCGACAUGUGGGCCUUUCUUUCAUAUUUCCUGAUAACCCCCUGCAGAAAUAGACAAACACCAAAACUUGUGGAAUUCUGUCAGAUAAAACCCUAAGUCUAGGUGUUGGUUGCAUUUGGAUCCUUUUCUAUGAUUAGUUGAUGGUUAAUUGUGAGCAUUAAGGACCGUCAACAAGCUCCCCCAAGCUUAACCUUUGCUCGUCCCUGAGCAAAGAUUGACUCAAGAAUUUCUGCAGUGGUUUUAUGCCUUAAAGAUACACAUGGGUUUAAACAAGAUCUCAUCUCUGGUUAGAGUAAACUGUUAAGACUUAAAACUUACUCAUUUACCUUUCACCAUGGGACUUGUAACCGUCACUUCUGUCUUGAGUAGUUAAAAGAUAGAACGGUCUAGUCAAGCACCAUGUCUCUUAUUCUUGAUCAGCUAUAGCUCUGGAGUUUUUGUAGAUUUUCAAAUAAAACUCAGAGAUUCCUUGUAUGACUCUCUCUAGUCUCUCUUUUGUGGUAUUUCUGGAUCCUUACCAAGGCAUUAAUGGUAUAUGCCUUCUCUCAAAGUAUGUAGUAUUUUUGGUAUGAGGCACAGUGGCAUUGCCUUCUCUCUCACCCUACUCUAAUAAGGUUUUGAUAUCUGGAUCUCAUAGGUGGAAGAUAAAAUAUAUAUACUUACAAGACAUUUAUUGCAUAGUCAAACCAUGGAUCCAGAAGAACAAGUCAAUAAGUCAAAUCAAGAUGUGCAUGUGUGGCGAAUGAAUGGUGUAUGGUGAUGAUGGUGAUAACAAUGGUGAAAGUGUAAUUCUACUUAUGCUCUUUUGAGGGGAUACAUACCUUUCUUGCACUUUUGAAACUUUUUGAGGAGAAUGAGAUGCUCUAUGUUUUCUUUUUCUUUUCUCUCAGGUGGGUAUCUUGUACCCCUAAUUCUACUAUCGGACACUUGUCCAUUUUUACCUCUCGUCUCACUUUUUCUUCUUUUUUUUCUUUCGAGGAUCCGGGCACUUGCCCCUUUUUAUUUCCUCGUAUUCUUCUUCUUUUUUUUUCUUUUUUUUUCUUUCUUUUUUUUAGAGCACUCAUCUCAUGAGAUAAUAUAGCAAGUGGUAGUAACAAGAUAACUUGAGCAUUUAUCUCACAGGGGAAAAAACAGAAAUAUUUUUGGCUAUUCUCUCCCGGAUUAGGAGUAGAAUAUUUUUGGGUGGUUCUGGAGAUGGAAAUGGAUGGAUAUAUGUGGAUGCGUACUUCCAGAGUAGAAGCAGCAUGUAUGAGUGAACGUGCAAGUAAAUCUUGACUUAACCACAUGACAAGCUCCUAAGGGUCUACACAGCUUGACCACACUCAAUGCUCAUAAGCAGUAAAAAGUAAAUGUGUGGCUCAAAGUCUAGCAAGCAUGUAUAUUUGGCUGUGGUAGGAAUUUAAACUCUCAUCAUACAGAAACUCAUCAUGCAACAUUUUAAAGAUUUUUUUCAAAGAUAAAAUUCUCCAGAAUUCUAGCAUCUCUAGGAACAGAUAAAUAGCAGCUCAACCUUCCCAUAUCAUAUCCGUUAACGACUUAGACUUCAGAUCAAGUACUCUCCCCACAAGUUCAGGUUUAGAGAAAAUCUUAAUUCAUAACAGUUAUGCCUAAACUUGAGAGAGAUUUCAAUUUUUAGAACUAGUCAUGGCAGAGCAACUAUUCAUCAUUUCCAUGUGAGAGCUUAUCAUGAGGGUUCAUAGCAAACUUUAUUCAUUUAUUUAUUUAGCAAACUAAGCAAAGAUAUAUAUAAGCUCAAAAUCUUUAUUUGGGUUUCUAUGAUUAUGCAUCUUUUCAUUAUUAGAGUAAAGUAUAAACAUGAGUAUAAUACUUAGCUGGAUAAAUGGGGGUGCUCUCCCCCAAGCUGGAUUUUGACGUAAUUUCUUCUGAUGUAGCUAGCAGGUGGCGGAGGUAUAUUUGAAUGUCGGCAGCACCCCGACAGCGAUUAGGAUGUCCUCCGUCUGCUAGUCUUCUUUGAUCCUUGAAUUCUGUAGAGCUCAAAUAGACAACAAAGCUUUGUGGAACUAGUUAAGUGUUAGCAUAAAUAUCUAGCCUUUAUCAUGUUGAGCCUUCUCAAUAAAUGUUACUCUCUUUAGUAGGAUCAUAAAUUUAUUUUUAUAAUUUUAUCUUUAUAUGAUAGGAAUAUAUUUAUUUCAUUUUUACGCCACCACAGUGAAUGUACUUAUGGGUUUUAUGCCAUGAGCAUACUCACAUGGGGCUUACUAUUUUUUUAACAUUUUUAUUUUCUUUUCAAGAUGAUAUGAACCUGAUUAACUAAGCAAACUAUUUUAAAUAAUUGAAAGGAAAAGGAUAAAUACCAAGUUUACCUCUUGGCAAGGCGUUCUGUGUUUUUAAGUCCUCCGAACAAGACUCUCUAUUUUCUCCGUUGUCCUGGGAUUUGCUGGAUGGCGUAGUCGGUGGUUCCGGCGGUGCUAAGUCUUCAUGUAUAACUAUCUUCUCUCUACACACUUGACUCGGUGCUACGGUCUCCUCAGGACAGUUCUGUUCAAGCUGUAUGUCUUCAGACCUUACGACUUCUCCUUCAUAGUCCGCCCAUCCGUCCUUGAUAAUUUGCCUCCUCUGGUUGCGGUUGCGUCGUCUUCUUCUUGUCCUGACCUGCUUAGAGUCUUCAACUAUAUGGUUAGGGUCAGUAAAAUAGCAGCGUACCUUCUCAGAGGGAAAAUGGAUGUGGACUUCUCUGGUUCCAAUGUAGAUGAUUGCUUUAGCGGUGCUGAGGAACGGUCUUCCAAGGAUGAUGGGUGGAUCGUACUUGUCUUCUCCCAUGUCAAUAACCAUAAAAUCAUCUGGAGCUGAAUGUACGUUGGUUGUAGGGGCAUGGUUCCAUGCAGGAGUUGAUAAGUGACUGCGGCCAUUAUGUUGAUGUUAGAUCCGGUGUCGUAGAGUGUCUUCUGAAAAGAAUAUCCAUUGAUUGUGCACUCGAUGCUUGGAACACCAGGGUCGUCCUUUUUGGUCAGGAACGGUGACUUAAAUAGAUGAUCUUGACCUCCUUGAACUGCAGUGACCAUCUUAGCUGACUCGGUCCACACUUGCAUGUUCCUGUUCCUCCUGUUGGUCCUCUUCCUUGGUUCAUGUCGGGAAUGCUCUGAGAUUUGUGUAGUCUUGUUCUUGAAGGAAAACGUCUCCUUCCUACCCUUGAUGUAGAAACUGAUCUUGGCAGCACUAGCGUAGAUGACAGCUCCUGAGGUGUUCAGGAAUGGCCUCCCUAGGAUGAUGGGUGCCCUCUCAUCAGCAUCAGUCUCUAUCACCACGAAGUCUGCUGGAGCGUACAAGGUACCAACUCGGACGAAGAGGUUCUUCAUUACUCCCUUUGGGAAACUUAGUGUCUGAUCUGCAAGCUGCAAACACAUGGUUGUUUCUAGGAAAGGAUGUGUAAAGAAUUUUUCAUAGAGUACCCUGAGCAUAAUGUUGACGCUGGAGCCAAAGUCGUAGAAUGCUUCUAGGAAGUCCACCAUGCCGAUGGAGAUCGGGAUGACGGGGCAUCCUGGGUCGCUUCUCUUGACUGGCAGAAGGUCAGUAAUUACUUCCACAACGGGGUUACUCCAGUAGUUACGUUCUCAAGCAUCUCAGGGCAGUGAUUGCCUGAGUGUCCAGUAUCUCCAGUGUGUUUGUGCUCGUAGAUUCAGGUUCUUCACUUGGUAGAGUCUGGGAGUUGUAAAAGUCCUUCAUAUUUUGCUCGAAGUGUACCUGCUCAUAGAGACAAGGCAGAGAUCAAGUGCAUGGGCCCUGUUGGUGGAAAACACCAACAGAACCAAAAGUGUAUUUGUUCUCUCUAACCUUAAGCAUAGUGAGCAAGACACAGUUGAUGGAUAAUAAGAUCAUGAGUGUAGCAUUUAAAACAUUCGUCAGAUCAAAUCGCUCAACCUAAUGGAAAGAUAAUCUAUCUAUAUUUAUGUUGUUUUUUUCUAUUUAUACAUCUUCCAAAGAUUGAGUGUGCAACAUUUUAGUUCAUAUGAUUAGGAGUGUGGGAUCACAAAGGUGGAAGGACUAAACAUGUUGAAUUAGGUUGGUUAAUCUAGAGUUGUAAAUCAUACAUGUUUGUCUCUUUUAUUCAUGUGAACGCCAGAACCAAGGAGAAGCUUAUAAAACUGAUAGUCAAGUACCUUAAGAUGUUACCUUACUUGAAGAGUGCUGGUACAGUAUCACCUUGUGGAAGCUUUCCUUUCUUAGUGGUUGUGCAUCGUGUUUGUGGCACCCUUAAUGGAUCAUCUCUUGUGAGCUAUGCCUUCCUUGUGUAAAUUGUUAAACUUCAUGUGCCUCUCUCUUUGUCUCCAAUGUGAGUUUAUCUCAGGACUUCCCACGUCGAUAUUGAAAGUUUUCCUGCAGGGGUUAGUCCAACAAAAUAUCCAAUAUCUACUAUAGCAUACUAUCGGCUCAAAGAUCAACCUAGACACCAUGUCUAAUUUGAUUUAGGAGGGCAUUUUAACCUAAGCAUCAUGCUUAAUUUAAACUCCCUUGGAAGUAAGAUCAACAGCCCUAAACUAAGCACCAUGCUUAAUUAAGAGAUAAAUGAAUCUACUCCAAGCCUAGACAUAUACUAAAGCAAGUAAAGGUAGUAUGAGAGCAUUUAUUGAGAUCUACUCAAGUGGAGAUGAAGUAGUGUGAUUAGUAUUUAACAAAUUGAGCAUGUCUCAAAGGAAGGGACAACCAACAUGGCAACAUGGCAAAUGAUGUUUUUAUGUAAAGUACUGCCCCAAGCUUGAAUUUUUGCAGAAUUCAAGUUUGGAUGAAUUUAAUUCCAUGUUGUAUGAUGAUUGGUUGGACAUACCUUGUGCUUGUCAUUCAUCUGAUCUUCUUGCUCCAAUCCUGGAAAGGUUAGUGACAAGAAUACCCGAAGGAAUAUUUUUACAAUUAUCCUGAUAUGCUCAACACACAAGGUAAUGUUUCAAAUAAUUAAAAGUUUAUGUUUUGGUCUGAUUAGUGCUUAUUUUAGGACGCUAAGCUUGUCCUUGGGAAACCAUCAAUUUAUGUCAGUGAAGUGGUUUCCCCUCCAACGCUGACCUAUAUCAAGAUCAACUCAACGAGAUCUGCAAAAUUUAUUAUAGACAUAUGCAUCGACAACCGCCCUUUUAAUGUUUUUAUGAAUAGAAAGGGAGAGGGGGUUGGAGAUCUCGAAUGUGGUGAUAUUGGAGUGACCAAUGGAUUGUGAAGAUGUUGCAUAUGAGCAUGGAGUAAGUGAAGUGGCUAUGAAAUAAAUUCCAUGCUCAUUAAUGCUUAGAGUGAAAUCCAUGUUGUAUGGUGAAAGUGAUAAGGUGAGUGUGGUAAAAAGGAAAAGAAAAAGGAUACACGGACGACUUGGUUCGAAACUAGCACAGCUACCGUUCCCCGGCAACGGCGCCAGAAAGCUUGUUGGGUAUUUUAAACGCAAACAGAAAAAUCCGCAAGCGCACGGAUACCGAUGUAGCUUUCACCUGGGAGUAUUCCAGAGUAUCGAUUUUCCACAGAGAACGUGAGUGUACUAAUUAAGAUCCAAGAUCGCCCAAGGAUAACUAUAUGAUUAUUUUUGGUGGGAAGAGAGGAAGUUUCCUGAGAGUUCUCUAGUUGAUCUAAGAAUCAAGAAUUACUUCAAGAAUAUCUAUAUCGGGACAUCAGAGCACUAACCACAGAAAGAGAUGAGAAGGGGGCUAGGAAGGUCUGACUACGGUCCUACAAACACCGAUCCGAACGUGGUGGAAUACGUCGACCGUUAGGGCUGUCACUACCCUAAGGCUACCACAACAAUCCGCAGGAUUGGGUGCAAUUCCACGUAAUUGCAAGACUAAACACCGCGUCUAAUCUAUUAAUUACUACUCUAGCGUUAUAAAGACUAGAGCACUUGAUGCAAGCGGGAAUCCAAUAAAUAACUUGAAUGUAAAUAAAAGUAAUUAAAGAACUCAGGAAUUAUGAAUUGAAGAACCUGGAGAACGACGAAGAACGAACCAGAUGCUGCAAAAGUAUAAUGUUGAGGAAGAUCCGACAGAUCCGGCUCCUCCUCCGCUCUCUUCUUCUCUCUCCCUAUUUUUCUAGAUUACAACUAGAACUAACUAGAACUAGAACUAGAGGAACUAGAACUAGAACUAGAUGAACUAGAACUAGAUCUAGAUGAACUAGAGGUAGAACUAGAAGAACUAGAGGGAUCCUCUCUACUUGGACGAAGAAUUGAAACCCUAACUUUGAUUCUGUAGAAGAGGUAUGAUCUCCAGGGGCCAGGGGGGUCUGGUUUUAUAGUCCCUUCAAGUGAAUCUGGGCCGUCGGAUCAAACCGACAUUGAUCGUGUGGUUUUCCUUGAAGUAUUAGGUCGGUGGAGCAUGAUCCUCGAACUUCACCCUGAUUGGUGGAAAGAGGUGGGCGGGCGCCCUCAGGACUAGGGCGGGCGCCCUGUCCCUGAGGCCUCUCGGCUUCCGCUUCGGUCCCGUGGCUUCUGGAGUCUUCUAGAUGAUAGAAAAUUGCGCGGCACAUUAGUAUCUCUAUGUAAACCCGACGUGUGGGCCUUUCUUUCAUAUUUCCUAAUACCCCCUGCAGAAAUAGACAAACACCAAAACUUGUGGAAUUCUGUCAGAUAAAACCCUAAGUCUGGGUGUUGGUUGCAUUUGGAUCCUUUUCUAUGAUUAGUUGAUGGUUAAUUGUGAGCAUUAAGGACCGUCAACAGGGCCUUUCUUCCAUAUUUCCUGAUAACCCCCUGCAGAAAUAGACAAACACCAAAACUCGUGGAAUUCUGUCAGAUAAAACCCUAAGUCUAGAUCUUAAUUUCAUUUGGAUCCUUUUCUUUGUUUAUUUGAUAAUUAAAUUUGAUACUUAAGGACCGUCAACAAACUCCCCCAAGCUUACCUCUUGCUCGUCCCUGAGCAAGGAUAGACUCAGCUAUGGAUCAUAAGUUGUUGCAAUAUAUAUUUAAAAAUUGACGGUACACAUGCUUUUUAAAUAAGAUCUCAUCUCUAAGCUAGAGUUAACUUGUUAAGACUUAAAACUCACUUACUUUACCUUCACCAUGGGACUUGUAGCUGUCACUUCUGUCUUGAGUGGUUAAAAGAUAGAACAGUCUAGUCAAGUGCCAUGUCUCUUAUUCUUGAUCAGCUAUAGCUCUGGGGUUUUUGCAGAUUUUCAAAUAAAACUCAGACAUUCCUUGUAUGACUCUCUCAUAUCUCUCUUUUGUGGUAUUUCUGGAUCCUUACCAAGGCAGUGAUGGUAUAUGCCUUCUCUCAAGAUAUGUAGUAUUUGUGGUAUAAGGCAUAGUGACAUUGCCUUCUCUCUCACCCUACUCUAAUAAGGCUUUAAUAUUUGGAGCUCAUAGGUGGGAGAUAAAGUAUACAUACUUACAAGACAUAUAUUGUAUAGUGAAAUCAUGGAUCCAAAGAAACAAAUUAAUAAGUCAAAUCAAGAUGUGCAUGUGUGGCGAAUGAAUGGUGUAUGGUGAUGAUGGUGAUAACAAUGGUGGUGGAAGUCUAAUUCUACUUUUGCUCUUUUGAGGGGAUACAUACCUUUCUUGCUUUUGAAAAUUUAUGAGGAGAAUGAGAUGCUCUUCUUUUUCUUUUCCCUCAGGUGGGUAUCUUGCACCCCUAAUUCUAUUGUCGGACAAUUUUUACCUCUCGUCUCACUUUUUCUUUUCUUUCGAGGUUCCGAGCACUUGCUCCUUUUUUUAAUUCCUCGUAUCUCUUUUCUUCUUCUCUUUUUUUUUAUUUUCAGAGCAUUCAUCUCUUGAGAUAAUAUAGCAAGUGGUAGUAACAAGAUAACUUGAGCAUUUAUUUCACAAGGGAAAAUAGAAAUAUUUUUGGUUAUUCUCUCCCGGAUUAGGAGUAGAAUAUUUUUAGGUGGUUCUGGAGAUGGAAUGGAUGGAUAUAUGUGGAUGGUACUUCCGGAGUAGAAGUAGCAUAUAUGAGUGAACGUGCAAGUGAAAUCUUGAUUUAACCACAUGACAAGCUCCUAAGGGUCUACACAGCUUGACCACACUCAAUGCUGAUAAGUAGUAAAUAGUAAAUGUGUGGCUUAAAGUCUAGCAAGCAUGUAUAUAUGGCUGUGGUAGGAAUUUAAAACUCUCAUCAUACAGGAACUCAUCAUGCAACAUUUUAAAGAUUUUCAAAGAUAAAAUUCUCCAGAAUUCUAGCAUCUCUAGGAACAGAUAAACAGCAGCUCAACCUUCCCAUAUCAUAUCCGUUAACAACUUAGACUUCAGAUCAAGUUUUCAUCCCACAAGUUUAGGUCUAGGGCAAGCUUUUAAUUAUAACAGUUAUGUCUAAACUUGAGAGAGAACUUAAAAUGUGCAAAUUAGGCAGAGCAACUAUUCAUCAUAUCCAUGCUUAAGUUUUAAUUAGAUACAGAUUAGCAUAGCCACUUUAUUUAUUUAUUAAACACACUAAGCAAAAGACAAAUAUAUAAGCAUAAAAUCUUUAUUUUGUUUUUCAUAGUUAUGUGUAUUUAUAUUCUAAAAUAAUAUAAGUAUAAAGAUAGAUAGAUAGAAAUACUUAUCGAGAUAAAUGGGGGUGCUCUCCCCCAAGCUGAAUUUUGACGUAAUUUCUCUUGAUGUAGCUAGCAGGUGGCAGAGGUGUAUUUGAAAGUCAGCAGCAUUCUGACAGCGAUUAGAAUGUCCUCCGUCUGCUAGUCUUCUUGAUUCUUAAAUCCUGUGGAGCUCAAAUAGACAACAAAGCUUGUGGAACUGAUUAAGUGUUAGCAUAAAUAUCUAGCCUUUAUCAUGUUGAGACUCCUCGAUAAUUAUUACUCCCUGUUUUUAUAUUUUUAUUUUAUAAAGCUGAAAAGAAAUAUUUAUUUUAUUUUUAUGCCACCACAGUGAAUGUACUUAUGGGUUUUAUGCCACUCGUAUACUCACAUGGGGCUUACUGUUUUUUUUCAUAUUUUUAUUUUCUUUUUAGGAUAGUACGAACAUAAUUAACUAAGUAAACUAUUUUAAAAUAAUUGAAAGGGAAAGGAUAACUACCAAGUUUACCUCUUGGCAAGGCGUUCGGUGUUUUUAAGUCCUCCGAACGGGACUCUCCAUUUUCUUAAUUGUCCUGAGGUUCGUUGGGUGGCGUAGUCGGUAUUUCCGGCAGCGCCUCCUCUUCAUGUAUAGUUAUCUUCAUUUUCCAUACCUGACUCGGUGCUUCAAUCUCCUCUGGAUAAUUCUGUUUAAACUCUACGUCUUCUGACCUUACAACUUCUCCUUCAUAGUCUGCCCAUCCGUCCUUGAUGAUCUGCCUCCUCUGGUUGCGGUUGCGUCUCUUUCUUACCUGCUUAGAUUCUUCAACGAUAUAGUUAGGGUCAGUAAAGUAACGGCGUACCUUCUCUGAGGGGAAGUGCAUAUGGACUUUUCCGGUUCCAAUGUAGAUAAUUGCUUUAACGGUGCUGAGGAAUGGUCUUCCAAGGAUGAUGGGUGGAUCAUACUCAUCUUCUCCCAUGUCAAUAACUUGAAAGUCUGUGUAGACAAAGUGAUCGUCUAUUUUGACUGGGACAUCAGUUAUUGUUCCUUUAACUUCUCGAAAUGUCUGAUCUGCCAUCUGGAGCUGAAUGUAUGUUGGUCGUAGGGGCAUGGUUCCGAACAAGAGCCGAUAGGUGACUGCGGCCAUUAUGUUGACACGCCGAUCCGGUGUCGCAAAACGUCUUGUAGAAGUUGUAUCCAUUUAUGGAGCAGUAGAUGCUUGGCAUUCCUGGGCCGUCCUUCUUAGUCAAAAGCGGUGACUUAAGUUGUUGAUCUUGGCCUCCAUGAACUACAGUGACCAUCUUAGCUGACUCGGUCCACACUUGCUUGUUCCUGUUCCUCCUGUUGGUCCUCUUCCUUGAUUUACGUCUAGAUUGAUCUGGGAUUUGUGUAGUCUUGUUCUUGAAGAAAAAUGUUUCCUUCUUCCCUUUGACGUAGAAACUGAUCUUGGUAGCACUAGCGUAGAUGAUAGCUCCCGUGGUGUUCAAGAAUGGUCUCCCUAAGAUGAUAGGUGCUCUCUCAUCAUUUCCGGUCUCUACCACUACGAAGUCUGCUGGGGCAUACAAGGUACCAACUCGGACACAAAGGUUCCUCACGAUUCCUUUCGGAAAAGUUAUCGUCUGAUCUGCAAACUGCAAACACAUGGUUGUCUCUAAUAAAGGAUAUGUAAAGAAUUUUUCAUAGAGUACUCUAGGUAUAAUGUUGACACUGGAGCCAAAGUCACAGAGUGCUUCUGGGACAUCCACCAUGCCGAUGGAGAUCGGGAUGACGGGGCGUCCUGGAUCGCCUCUCUUGACCGGCAGAAGGUCAGUAGAGAAUUCCGUGACGGGGUUACUCCAAUUACCUGCAUCAAACAUGUCUACAAGAUUUGCAGAUUCUAAUCCUUCCGGUUGUGAUGGUAUACCGGGGUUAGUAGUAGGAACAGCAGCAGCUAUUUGAUUUAACUGAGAUUCAAUCAUUUUAUUAAAGCUAAUUUGAUUCUUGAUGGCAGUAGAGAAAUUAUCCAUUCUAUUAUUUAUAUUUUCUAGCAUUUUAUCAUUAGAUGCCAAUUUCUUAGAUAGGUUAUCCAUUAGCUUUCCUUGAUUAGACACUAACUCUCUUAAAGGUGGAAAAUUAUUAGUGUUGUUGUAAGAAUUGUUACCUUGAUAAUUACCUGAGUAGUUAGGCCUCUGUUGAUUCCAACCUUGAUUUUGUUG
rnacentral:lncRNA from 1 species